rnacentral:rRNA from 1 species
AUUGAACGCUGGCGGCAGGCCUAACACAUGCAAGUCGAGCGAGCGGCGGACGGGUGAGUAAUGUAUGGGGACUGCCCGAUAGAGGGGGAUAACUACUGGAAACGGUAGCUAAUACCGCAUACUAUCGGAUAACCCAUAUGGGAUUAGCUAGUAGGUGAGGUAAUGGCUCACCUAGGCGACGAUCCCUAGCUGGUCUGAGAGGAUGAUCAGCCACACCGGGACGUAAACCCGCCCCGGACCCUUCGGGAGGCCGGCGUGGGGAAAUUUGCCACAUUGGCGGCAUGCUGAUGCAGCCAUGGCGCGUGUAUUAAGAAGGCCCUAGGGUUGUAAAGUACUUUCAGUCGGGAGGCGUUACCGACAGAAGAAGCACCGGCUAACUCCGUGCCAGCAGCCGCGGUAAUUC